rnacentral:rRNA from 1 species
GACGAACGCUGGCGGCGUGCUUAACACAUGCAAGUCGAACGGAAAGGCCCUGCUUUUGUGGGGUGCUCGAGUGGCGAACGGGUGAGUAACACGUGAGUAACCUGCCCUUGACUUUGGGAUAACUUCAGGAAACUGGGGCUAAUACCGGAUAGGAGCUCCUGCUGCAUGGUGGGGGUUGGAAAGUUUCGGCGGUUGGGGAUGGACUCGCGGCUUAUCAGCUUGUUGGUGGGGUAGUGGCUUACCAAGGCUUUGACGGGUAGCCGGCCUGAGAGGGUGACCGGCCACAUUGGGACUGAGAUACGGCCCAGACUCCUACGGGAGGCAGCAGUGGGGAAUAUUGCACAAUGGGCGGAAGCCUGAUGCAGCAACGCCGCGUGCGGGAUGACGGCCUUCGGGUUGUAAACCGCUUUCGCCUGUGACGAAGCGUGAGUGACGGUAAUGGGUAAAGAAGCACCGGCUAACUACGUGCCAGCAGCCGCGGUGAUACGUAGGGUGCGAGCGUUGUCCGGAUUUAUUGGGCGUAAAGGGCUCGUAGGUGGUUGAUCGCGUCGGAAGUGUAAUCUUGGGGCUUAACCCUGAGCGUGCUUUCGAUACGGGUUGACUUGAGGAAGGUAGGGGAGAAUGGAAUUCCUGGUGGAGCGGUGGAAUGCGCAGAUAUCAGGAGGAACACCAGUGGCGAAGGCGGUUCUCUGGGCCUUUCCUGACGCUGAGGAGCGAAAGCGUGGGGAGCGAACAGGCUUAGAUACCCUGGUAGUCCACGCUGUAAACGGUGGGUACUAGGUGUGGGGUCCAUUCCACGGGUUCCGUGCCGUAGCUAACGCUUUAAGUACCCCGCCUGGGGAGUACGGCCGCAAGGCUAAAACUCAAAGGAAUUGACGGGGCCCCGCACAAGCGGCGGAGCAUGCGGAUUAAUUCGAUGCAACGCGUAGAACCUUACCUGGGUUUGACAUGGAUCGGGAGUGCUCAGAGAUGGGUGUGCCUCUUUUGGGGUCGGUUCACAGGUGGUGCAUGGCUGUCGUCAGCUCGUGUCGUGAGAUGUUGGGUUAAGUCCCGCAACGAGCGCAACCCUUGUUCACUGUUGCCAGCACGUUAUGGUGGGGACUCAGUGGAGACCGCCGGGGUCAACUCGGAGGAAGGUGGGGAUGACGUCAAGUCAUCAUGCCCCUUAUGUCCAGGGCUUCACGCAUGCUACAAUGGCCGGUACAGAGAGUGGCGAGCCUGUGAGGGUGAGCGAAUCUCGGAAAGCCGGUCUCAGUUCGGAUUGAGGUCUGCAACUCGACCCCAUGAAGUCGGAGUCGCUAGUAAUCGCAGAUCAGCAACGCUGCGGUGAAUACGUUCCCGGGGCU